AUUGAACGCUGGCGGCAGGCCUAACACAUGCAAGUCGAGCGGAUGAAGGGAGCUUGCUCCUGGAUUCAGCGGCGGACGGGUGAGUAAUGCCUAGGAAUCUGCCUGGUAGUGGGGGAUAACGUCCGGAAACGGGCGCUAAUACCGCAUACGUCCUGAGGGAGAAAGUGGGGGAUCUUCGGACCUCACGCUAUCAGAUGAGCCUAGGUCGGAUUAGCUAGUUGGUGGGGUAAAGGCCUACCAAGGCGACGAUCCGUAACUGGUCUGGGAGGAUGAUCAGUCACACUGGAACUGAGACACGGUCCAGACUCCUACGGGAGGCAGCAGUGGGGAAUAUUGGACAAUGGGCGAAAGCCUGAUCCAGCCAUGCCGCGUGUGUGAAGAAGGUCUUCGGAUUGUAAAGCACUUUAAGUUGGGAGGAAGGGCAGUAAGUUAAUACCUUGCUGUUUUGACGUUACCAACAGAAUAAGCACCGGCUAACUUCGCG
rnacentral:rRNA from 1 species